AUUUGAAUCAGGGUUUGUGUUAGCUUGCUCUUGUGUCCAAAAUCUAUCACAGGUAAGUUCACACGGAAAGAAGGAAGACAUCUGGGAAAAAUCAGCAUAAAAUCAAUAACACAAGCAAAUCAAGCAGAGAGCAAGCAGAGGAAGCGUCCGAACUGUAAAGCAGCAGGAAUGAGGAGGAAUAUAGUUUUAUUGUCCGUACCGCCCAGUCCUGAUCUGAACUUUGAACAGGUUCCAGUUAAGUUAAGAUAAACGACAGUGUAAAUAAAGGUGAAUGUUUGAACAACGAGCUGCAGCCGAAGCUUCACUCCGUCUGUAGGAGCCAUUUAUGUUUAUUGUUGGCAGUUUAUUUAAUUUAACUAUUGGGUUGUGGUUACAUCAUUUGGACACUAGGUGGUGAUGAGAGUUCACCAUAUAUAGAGGUAUAGGGAACAGGAAGAGGAAGACACAGGAAGGGAAAGUCAAACAGUUCUCACCAGACGCACAACAGAUCACACAGACAAACAGAACAGAGCUGCGCCUGCAACAGAAAACUGGAAGGAACCAGAGCAGAGGGAGGAAGGAGGAAAGUUCAAGUGUGACGGAGCAGAAAUCCAGUCCAGAAGAUUCCUGUUCGUCUCUGAAAGAAGAUCCAAGCGAGUCCAUCGGGUUUUCCUCCACAACACAGCAGUGAGUACACUGAGAUCCAACAUGUCUGCUGGCAGCAACCGGAGAUCUGCAGAUCAGUUCCUGUGCUCCAUCUGUCUGGAUGUGUUCACUGAUCCAGUCACCACACCAUGUGGACACAACUUCUGUAAAACCUGCAUCACUCAUUUCUGGGAUGGUAAUGUUCUCUACAAGUGUCCCAUAUGUCAGGAGAUGUUCUACACCAGACCUCAGCUGAAAGUCAACACCUUAUUCAGAGAGAUGGAUAUUGAGUUCAGAUGUGAAGCUCAACAGAAAUCCAGAAGCAGCAAGAAGAAGGGGAAGACAGAGGCUGAGAUUCAGCAGAUGAUCCGUGGGGCCCUGGAGGGCUUGCCGUGGGACCCGGCGUGGAGCUUGGCAGGCUUGGUAGGCUUGGCGUGGGGCUUGGCAGGCUUGGCGUGGGGCUUGGCGUGGGGCUUGGUAGGCUUGGCGUGGGGCUUGGCAGGCUUGGCGUGGGGCUUGGCGUGGAGCUUGGUAGGCUUGGCGUGGAGCUUGGCAGGCUUGGCGUUGGGCUUGGGGCUUGGCGUGGGGCUUGGCAGGCUUGGCGUGAGGCUUGCCGUGGGGCGUGGCAGGCUUGGCAGGCUUGGCGUGGGAACUUGACGCGGCUGGGGUACUGGUUUAAAAACUGCUGAAGGGUGUCUGGGUUGGGACGGGUGAAAUAAUCUAUGGCAGGGCUUGGGGUCUCUGGUAAGGUCAUCUCCACAGGAAAUUAUGUACUGGGCUUGCUGCUGCCUAUCAUAAAUCUGGACAUGAAAAGUAGAGAAAUAGAGUGGAAUAAGUUUGAACAAGAUUACAUGCAAAAAAUGAGUCUGAAUGCCAACAGAACUUUUGCUAGUUGGCUUAAGUAUGGAAAAACAAUAGUAUAAUGAUCUGGGGUCCGUUUCACAAAGCAGGUUUAGUGAAAGCUCGGAGUCUGUUAACCCUGAAAUGAGGGAAACUGAGUUUUCCGUUUCACAAAGGGAGGUAACUCAAACCAAAGAAAGAGGAGUAACUCUAGCCUGUUUCACAAAGAGAGGUAACUUAAGCUCUCGGUCAGUUACCGUAGUAACAGACACUCUGAACCUAACCUGGUCGGAACCAGGUUUAUAUGAAUGAACCUGGAGUUUCUCUGCGUCUCAGCCUCUUUCAGAGACACACGCACAUUUGAUUUCCUCAUUCAUUCAGUCAGCAGGCGAGUUUUGGCGAAGUUCUGCCGUCUGUCAUUAAAAACAGAGUCAGUAUAUAUAUUAGAAGUCCAUUGUCACGAACAUGGCAUGUCCUUUUGAUGAAGACACAAUCGAUGAAGGUGCAGCAUUAAUGCGCAGAGAAUUAAAUAUUCGUCGGGAGAUGGUUAUCAGACCGCGUAAUACAUGUAUAUCACAGUACAUAGUCUCAUUACAGGCAAAGCAAUAUAUGUUAAUCCUUUAUUUGUUAUAAUUUUGAUGAUUGAAUUGUUUAAUGAUUUCAUAAUAUAUUGUAAUGAGUGACAGACCAGGCGGAGACGGCUCGUAGUUUCUUGCCAGUUUAUUACCGAGCAGGAAAAACCAACUAGGUUCUCUGACAAACCCAACGGCAGACAGACUCUCUAACGUCUAACGUCUCCGGUAGAACUUAAAAAAACACCUUAAAAAGAACAACAGAAGAAGAAAACCCGGGGUUCUGAACCCCCCCACCCCCUCUUACCACCACCGGCACGCACCAUUCAUGACAUCCCGUGCAUUCCAGUGACAGGCAGAGAGGGUCGCUACAAUAUUCUAAUUUUUUGAGAUUUUUUAUUUGGGGUUUUCAUAAACUGUGAGCCAUAGGCUAAUCAUCAAAAUUAUAACAAAUAAAGGCUUGAAAUAUCUCACUUUGCUUGUAGUGGGAAAUAAUAUUUGUUUCACCUUAAGUUGAAUUUACUACGAAUGAAGUUUUGCAAUAUAUUCAAAUUUUCCGACCUCCACCUGUAUAUUAUUACAUGAAUAAAUAAGAGCAUAAUACAGGGGUCUCCAACUCCGGUCCUGGAGAGCAGCUAUCCAGCAUGUUUUAGAUGUCUCCCUGCAUGAACACACCUGAUUCUAAUCAAUGGUCGUCAUUAACUUGUCAUCAAGGUCUGGACAGUUCUGUUGUUUACACAGCUCCUUGUAUCAUGGUGUGCUGAAGCAGGGAAAGAUCUAAAACAUGCUGGAUAGGUGCUCUCCAGGACCAGGGUUGGAGAACCCUGGCAUAAUAUGUGUCUGUAUUGGUUCAAUACGUAACGCAACUUUUAAUUCUCAAUUACGGAACAAUUCUGUAUUUCAAGGGACGGGUGGCAAGCCUAUCAUAAACCUGUCCAAGCCAUCAAGGAGUUCCACAGGAUUGCAGGUGAAUGAUGUAGAGAUCUGUUAAAUUAAUUUUAUAUUAUAUAUUCUGUGCUGCGGUGUUACUCUUUUUUCGAAAAACAUGUUCAAAUUCGCCGUAUGCGCGCAUUAAAAUCUCUAAUUCCAUUCGGGUGUAAAAGGACACGGCGUGAAGUAUGUGGAUCUUUUGCCGUUGUUGUCGCCGGUUGCCAUGGUGAAUCUUUGUAUCAGGGCUCUAUAGAUACUGGCUUUUGAUAGUUGUGGCGCACGCGCGUAACUCCAGGUGAAACUACUUAGAGUUGAGUAAAUUACCUCAAAUCCGCUGUUCUGGAACCGAAAACUCAGAGUUUCCGAUCUCAGAGUAGAUCAACUAAGAGUUCAGGAUUAGACUCAGAGUUUGUUGAACCUGCUUUGUGAAACGGACCCCUUAACAAUAGACAAACACAUUUUACAGCUCAACAUACCGACAAUAAACCAUGACAUAAGAGGAAAUACUUGUAAUUUUGUAUUAGUAUCAUAAUAUUUUGCAUGGUUAUACUGUUAUGGAUGCCAAAUAUUGAUAUUUUACUAAACAUGAAAUUAACUUUUUCUUACUGUAUUUAACACAAACAGUUCAGUUUGUCAUGAGUUUUCAUAAGCAUAUGUUUGUUUGACAACUGUGCAUCAAUGAAAAUGAAAACAGAUGAACAGACAUAGCCUAUCUUAUUGUUAAAGUUUUCAUUUUGAUAAAUAAUUUGCAGAGAAUUUGCAGCAUAUCGCAAUCUAUUUAAUAUCACAAAAAUAUUGUGUAAAGACAUAUGUAUAUUAUAUGAUAUUAUUGUAUUGUAGGACUUCUGGAGACCCCCCUAAAUAUAAAUGCAGAUGUUUUAUUGUAACAGUAGUUAAUCAGUGUUUUAUUAGUUUUAACUGCAUAAUGUGAAACAGUCAUUAAACCAUAAACACUGACUGAAAAAAAUAUGUAAAGCAUAUUUGGUAUGUUGUUAGAUCAAUGUCCUUCAUGAACAAAUAGGACUGUCUGUGGGCAGAAGAAAGGUGCAUGUUGAUACUAAUUAAGGAGACCGCUAUUUAUUGCUUUUAUUUUGAAGGCGUCUCGCCGAGAAAUUGUAAACAUCCGGCGCUUCGGACUUUAAUGGCAAAAGUUUUACGCAGUAGAAAGUGUGUCUGAAAGACUAAACUAGUGUCAGGAAUGCUAAAGUGGUGCCUAACUGACACAAAAAGCACCUGCUGAUAAGGAUUUUGUUUUCUUUGCAAAUGUUAUGCUGUAUUUAUGUACAUAUUGAGUUUGGCUGCAAUGGUUAUUCAUGUAUUGUGGUUAUAGCUGUAGGCCUGAUUUAUGGUUCCGCGUUAAAUCGACGGCGAAGCCUACGGCGUAGAGUACGCGGCGACGCGCACUGUACGCCGUAGGCUCUGCGUAGGUGUAACGCGGAACCAUAAAUCAGGCUGUAGCUGUUAUUACCGACCGAGCAGCUGCGUCGGUCUGUAUUUAAGUUAAAUGAAACUUAUAUGAAUGUAGAAAGACUAACUCUAUUUAAUUUUAUUCCUUUAUAGCUCUUACGGUGUGUUUGCAGUGUAUUUAGCCUAUUGUACAUC